AAAGAACCCUGUGUAGCUGGGCAGAGAAACUUGAGGGAGGCAGCUCACUGCGCAGACUCCCUGAUGCCACAGACCUGACAGCUGCGGGAAGGUGACGUCACCGUCUGUGACCCCCCCCCCCACAGAACUAAGAAAACAAACAUGUCACGUGUAGACAGGUAGCAGAACCACUUCCUAGGUGCUCUUUUCCAAAAUGAUCAUCUUCAUCAGCAGUCUUCCUCCGGAUGAAGGUGUCCCCAGGACCUGUUCCAACGUGCUACUUCACUCUCCCAGGCAGUGCCCCUGAGGGCGUGAGGUCUCCUUCCCAUCACUCCCAGCUUCCGAGCAUGUGUUCCUCUCCUUCGGUCCACUGCUGAGCUGUCCCUCGGGUCACUGAAGCACAGAGGCCAGCCCAGACUUCAAUAGCCAGCCCAGACCCUCCACUGGUCCGGCAAGGGGCGGUCAAGCCCCGAGGACAAAGGGUCAUGCAGUCUGACAGCUUGAGAACGGCAUUGUGGGUGACUCAGCCGUUUCAGUGCUGCAGAGCGCGAGUAUGUGUUUGUAUACAUGCUGCAGCUUUUACCCCACGGCAGGGCUCUCCAUUGAAGGCCAGAAUAUUGUGGGUUCAGAUGGCAGCUGGAUCACUGCUAUUGUAUCCUAAGAACAAGGCCCUCACUACGAUUACUUCAGGAAAAUAAGCAAGGUAAAUGGAUGCAAACCAGGGUCGGUUUAGAUAAGGGAAUCUCUCACAUUAAUAAUAUUUAAUAAUUCUACAGAUAGCUUUUGUAUGCUUCACAUCAAGUGACUGUUUACUUAUCUGUGGUCUGUGUCACAAAGAGAAACAGGCCAGUGUUCGAUAUAUACAUAGUGUUGUUUUAUAGUCAUAGUUUUCUUGAAAAGCACCCUUUGAUGAAGUAUAAGCGUCCUAGAAUGGCUUGCCAACAAAAACCAAAUUGCUUUUUACAUGAAAAUAAUUAGUGUACAAACAGAGAAACAUUUGACUUCAGAAAACAACUGAUGGGUCCAUUUAUACUUUCCCAUUGUCCCACUGCCUUGAGUGCUGCGGUUGCUAAAUCUGGCUUGCUGCUCACUAGCUCUCUUCUAGUUAAUAAAAAGUGUCAUAUUCUGUUA